UGGGGAAUAUUGCACAAUGGGCGCAAGCCUGAUGCAGCCAUGCCGCGUGUAUGAAGAAGGCCUUCGGGUUGUAAAGUACUUUCAGCGAGGAGGAAGGCGGUAAGGUUAAUAACCUUAUCGAUUGACGUUACUCGCAGAAGAAGCACCGGCUAACUCCGUGCCAGCAGCCGCGGUAAUACGGAGGGUGCAAGCGUUAAUCGGAAUUACUGGGCGUAAAGCGCACGCAGGCGGUCUGUCAAGUCGGAUGUGAAAUCCCCGGGCUCAACCUGGGAACUGCAUUCGAAACUGGCAGGCUAGAGUCUUGUAGAGGGGUGUAGAAUUCCAGGUGUAGCGGUGAAAUGCGUAGAGAUCUGGAGGAAUACCGGUGGCGAAGGCGGCCCCCUGGACAAAGACUGACGCUCAGGUGCGAAAGCGUGGGGAGCAAACA
rnacentral:rRNA from 1 species